UACAGAGGUGGCAAGCGUUGUUCGGAAUUACUGGGCGUAAAGGGCGCGUAGGCGGUUCGUUAAGUCCUGUGUGAAAUCCCCCGGCUCAACUGGGGAACUGCACAGGAAACUAGCGGGCUUGAGUUCGAGAGAGGUCAGUGGAAUUGCAGGUGUAGCGGUGGAAUGCGUAGAGAUCCGGAAGAACACCGGUGGCGAAGGCGGUCUGCUGGGCAGUUGCUGACGCUGAUGCGCGACAGCGUGGGGAGCAAACAGG
rnacentral:rRNA from 1 species